CAGAAAAUGAAGAAUUGUUAAAGGCUGAAAAUGAAGAGAAAGAGCGCAGGAUGGCUCAAGAAACAGAAAAAUCAAACUCUACUGGAGCAAUCGGCAAUGAUGCGUC
rnacentral:ribozyme from 1 species